rnacentral:rRNA from 1 species
CAAGUCGAACGGAAACGAUGUUAGCUUGCUAACAGGCGUCGAGUGGCGGACGGGUGAGUAACGCGUAGGAAUCUACCAAAUAGCGGGGGAUAGCCCGGAGAAAUCCGGAUUAAUACCGCAUAAUCUCUACGGAGUAAAGGGGGCCUCUAUUUAUAAGCUUUCACUAUUUGAUGAGCCUGCGUAAGAUUAGCUUGUUGGUAGGGUAAAGGCCUACCAAGGCGACGAUCCGUAGCUGGUCUGAGAGGACGACCAGCCACACUGGAACUGAGACACGGUCCAGACUCC